CCGGGCCGGGCGCUGCCUCGCCCCGGCGGGUGACCCCUGCUGUCUCCGCUCCCCGCGCCCCGGGAGCCGCCGGGGUCGCGUCCUUUCCCCUCCGGGACUCGUCUGCGCUUCCCGCUCCGCGGCGGCCCCUCCGCAGGAGCGCCCCGCACCCGAGGGGAGGGGAAGGCCUGGCGGCCGCCGCUCCCGCAGCCCGCCCUUCCCCGCGGGACUGCCCGGGGCUGCGCUGCCUUUGUCGGCGCCCCACGGAGGCGUUCUGGGGAGGGGGAACAGAGACCCCUGAAAUGUAGCGUUGAUUGCCAGUCACGGUCCUGCCUGGUAACGCGAUGUGCUAAACUCGGCUCACAGGGCGCAUUUAUCUGGCCCCUGGAAAUGCCUAGAAAAAUAGAUGACUCCAAAUUAUUCAAGUGCAAUUAAGGCCACAAAAGAAAAGACAUCUGAAUUGGCUCUGUAUAAGGCAGAUGCGGUUCAGUUAGGCUUAGCAGCAGAGAUGUGCACGGUCUGAGCAGAAUUACUGCAAUUUCAGAUGAAGGUCCAAGCGUGUCGAAAGGCUCUCGUCUGAUCCUGUUUGGGUGCCACAAGGAGCGCCGCUGAAGCUGAGCUAGUAAAUAUUGAUGGACUCAAGCUUCAUGUCCUGAAAUCGGGUCUGUCAGUGCUGGGCUUCCCAUUCUGUCGCAGUACACCAGACAUUUUCUACUCUGGGCACUGUGAUUCCCCUAUUACUAUUUGGAAACUGGAUAGUGGAUUGCAUAGUCACUGUAUUUUCUAGCAGCUUGCAGAAGUAAUCAAGCUUUGAUGCAGAAUACGAUGUCAAAAAGUACACACUCCUGUUACUGGAAAAGCACUGUUCUCUCUGAGAUAAGUUUCAAGCACACUUUCACAAUUUAUUGUUUCCAUUAGAAAAGUAUCUAGUAAUCUGAAAAUCGAUCUAAAAACCAUUGUUCUAGAUACUGUGCUUGACACAUAAUAAAAAGAAAGCUCAUGCCCUGCAGAGCUUGUAUCAAGAGCAGAUUAAACACGUUCUAAGGAUACCUGUAGAGAGAGUUGUGCAGGUUUUCUCAGGUCUCACAAGCGUGUUGCACCAGCACAAACAAACCUGCCAGAGCACUUUUCCAAAAACCAGCACGCAAACAGACAGGUCCAAACAAAAAGGCUGAAGCUUUAACCUACCUCGAAACUCUUCCCUUGCUUCUAACAAGCCCUCCUGACUCUGAAUGACCUCUCCGUUCUGCAGGGAGGCGAGGGCCGCCGCUCACGGAAAGCCAGCAUCUCUCCCGAGCGAGCCGGGGGCAGAGCAGCACGCACAAAGGUGAUGGGUUCCUCCACAGGCAGCCACACGCACGCACCGUGCGCCGCCUCUCCGGCCUACCUGUCUCGUCUUGUUUCAGCCGUUCCUAACGAGCAGGCAGGCUACUGGAGCAUGCAGAAAUCUUGCUUUUUGAAGCACCCUGAAAACAGGCUUGGAUUUUUUUGGUACCUAGGUGGCCCAGAAGAACUUGGCAGGAAGCAAGCUCCAAAUAGGUAGUAAAAUCGGCACAGCUAUGGGGGAACCUUAGUUUCAUGCUCCCUGGGCUUCCCAGUGACCUACAAGAACCAAGAAACACCAGAAGAGGAGACUGAAACUGCCUGUCUCUUGCUCAUUCUUCAGUGCCAGAUCACAUCAGGCUGAAAGAUACCUGAGGACUGUUUGUUUGCAGACUGCUGGAAGAGAGACGGAAUCACCUAUUGUGUAAAAAACUCAAAAGAACAUGAAAAGGUCUUCUUGUGAUCCUCAAAAUCAUCAGCAAAGUCGGUAACAGUAAUUUUUUUAGCUUCGCAAGGAUAUAUACUUAAAUACAUCCAGAUAUCACCAUAUAUUUUUGAUAUACUGGAGGGUUUAUUAGUUCUCAGCAGCCACAGAAAGUAGAUUAGUGGUGUCAGUUGCUAUUGUUGUUCUGGGUCUCCUGUUGUCACCAUAUCUACAAGUUCGCCUGACUUUUAAUCAUGCAGAUUGCUUUCUGGUUUUUUCCAUGGCUUUUGAGCUCACCCUAGUCUGUUUUCCUGGAUGUAUGCUUUUUCUGUGUAACUGAAACUUUCCUGGAGUGUUUGCAAGGAAGGCUCUGUCACUGUGCUCCCUCUGACAAUGUCUCAAGAGCAUACUGAGAAAAGCAGAGAUCUCUGCGAGUUUUGCUUCCCUAUUGCAUCAUAUUCUUCAUGAUUUUUAAAUUUAAUCCUCCUGAAGAUACACUAGACUCAAGAAAGCUGCAAGUCCUUUUCUCAUACUGGGAUGUUUUCUUGCUCAUCUCUCCCUGAGCUUAGAGGAUGAGUAGUGUCAUGGCAGAAAGCAAACUGAUAAGUAAUCAACUUUUAAAAAUGUCUGUCUUUCUAGGGGAUGCAAAUUGUUUCCUUGUAGUAUCUGACAGAGUAACACAAGUAACUUGCCAUGGCAACCAGCUUAUGGAACAUUAAAAAAUAUAUCAUUACAAGGUGCUUUGUUACGAUAACAGGGAAAGAAGCUGAGACCUUAUCAGUUUUGUGCACUUGUGUGUCAUGCAUCAUCUAGGUAGCAGAACCUGUCAGUAGAAGUUUGUGUUCAAUUCAGUGCAAGUCAUCUGCCUCGUGGGCCUAUCUGAUACUUGGAUCAAAGCUGAAGUGCAGUCAGAAGGAAAGAAGGAAGUGUUCAGAAGAAUUGAAACAAGGCUGGAUUCUCAGAAACACAAAGACAAAUCCAUUUCCUCCAAGCUGAUGCAACUCUGAAGAUAGCAGUAAAGGAUGAACCGCUUCUGAAAUUAAUUUGGUUUGCAUUCUCUGACAGUCUCCAUUAUUUUACUGUCCUCCUUUAUUCUUUUUUAAGUGAAGUAAGUCUGCAGAUCUGUAAGUAUUUUGGAUUUACUUGGGACAAAGGAUGGAAUAGGCUUGCAAGGUCUGUCUUCAAACCCAUUCUCUUUACAGGGAUGCUUCUGGGAAGGACAGACUCAUUUCCACUCAGCUUGCUUGGGUAAGUGAGUGAAUUUAUAAAUGACAAAGGGAAUCAGCUGAGGGCAGAGAGGGGAAACUGUCAUAGUUACCACUUUGAGAGGAAGGAAAAGCUGAGUUUAUUAGCUCUGAGGAGGACAGUUUUGAAACUGUUGUCUGUGCACAGAGGCCAGCAGAAAACUGCCCUGUGCUGAGGAUAGGCUCAUUUGUACAUCUGGAGUGGGGCUAGGGUAUGCUUUACUCUGGAGCUGGAAAGGAUGUCUUCUGUGGGUCAGAUUUGGAAAGUGAAGGACAAGCUGAAAGUUUCUUAAUCCCUUGAUUACUGACUUGAGCCACAAGUAACACAGCUCCAACUGUGUGAUGGACUGAAGUGUAUGCUCCCCCUUCUAUUUUAAAAACACUCUCUCCCAGUUAAAAUUUAUGCUGUUCAUGCACUAGUACUAAUGCUUGAGAAACAGUGGCCAGCUUUCUGAGCUGCCUGGGGCCUAGCUGAAUUCACAGGUAAAGUUCUCGUGACUCAUGGACAAUUCUCUUGUAGCUUCCUGGUGAGGUUGUAGAGAAAAUACUGCUAGAUUACAAACCCUGACAAUUAGAAAACCCUGACUUGGAAAGAAACCUUUGAAAAUAAACUCUUAAUGUAUCAGAAAAAUCUAUGUGAGAUGCAAAGCUAGAGUUCACUCUUGACAAUGAA